AAUUCGUUGCUACACGAAGAACCUUACCCGGGUUGACAUAUAGGUUGUAGGGAACUGAAAAGGACCGACCUUCGGGAGCCUAUACAGGUGUUGCAUGGCUGUCGUCAGCUCGUGUCGUGAGAUGUUCGGUUAAGUCCGCUAACGAGCGCAACCCUCGUCGUAUGUUAUAUGUGUCAUACGAGACUGCCGGUAAAAGCCGGAGGAAGGUGAGGAUGAUGUCAAGUCAGCAUGACCUUUAUAUCCAGGGCUACACACACGCUACAAUGGUCUGUACAAUGGGUAGCCAAGCCGCGAGGCGGAGCCAAUCCUGAAAGCAGGCCUCAGUUCAGAUUGCAGUCUGCAACUCGACUGCAUGAAGCCGGAGUUGCUAGUAACCGCAGGUCAGCAAUACUGCGGUGAAUACGUUCCCGGGUCUU
rnacentral:rRNA from 1 species